ACGGUAACAGGUUAAGCUGACGAGUGGCGAACGGGUGAGUAAUAUAUCGGAACGUGCCCAGUAGUGGGGGAUAGCCCGGCGAAAGCCGGAUUAAUACCGCAUACGACCUACGGGUGAAAGGGGGGGAUCGCAAGACCUCUCGCUAUUGGAGCGGCCGAUAUCAGAUUAGCUAGUUGGUGGGGUAAAAGCUCACCAAGGCGACGAUCUGUAGCUGGUCUGAGAGGACGACCAGCCACACUGGGACUGAGACACGGCCCAGACUCCUACGGGAGGCAGCAGUGGGGAAUUUUGGACAAUGGACGCAAGUCUGAUCCAGCCAUGCCGCGUGCGGGAAGAAGGCCUUCGGGUUGUAAACCGCUUUUGUCAGGGAAGAAAAGCUCCGAACUAAUAUUUUGGGGUGAUGACGGUACCUGAAGAAUAAGCACCGGCUAACUACGUGCCAGCAGCCGCGGUAAU
rnacentral:rRNA from 1 species